rnacentral:ncRNA from 2 species
GGGUUCUUGUCGGGGUGCCUCGAAUCGGAGGCUGAGAUCGGAGAGUUCCGGAUCCCGUUGAACCUGAUCAGGUUAAGGCCUGCGUAGGGAACAAGAUGUGCCUCCCA